CUUUAGACGACUUGAAAA
rnacentral:snRNA from 1 species